GAAUGAAGACACACAGCAGUCAGUGAGCUCUAAACAGGAUUUCCAAACUUUAUUUCCUGUGUAGAGGUGUACCAUGGGGGCAAUCACAGUUAGUGGACUUCCUUCUUAUUAGUCUGAGUGCAAACGUAAAUAUCAGCAAAAGAAAAAAAGAGCAUUUUCAAUUCUUCAUCAUUAAAGUAAAGCCUAAACGUCAGAGCUCAGAGAGGAACCGGAGAGAGAUGGAGCGCGACGGAGUGAACAAAGAAAUUAUUCAUGACACCUUGCGUCUGAACGUUUGUGUAUUUUAAUAAAACAGUGGUGUUAGUUUGAAAUUUUUCAUCACCACAGCGAUAAAUCACAUUCCCAAGUUUGAUUCUGUAAUGCUUGUUUAUGCAAAUCAUGGAAUAAUAGAUUCAAAUUUGAUCAGUUAUCAAACAUUAAUACUCAGUGUUACUCAGUUCAUUAUUAUUAUUUAACACGGUUAACUUUAAGUUGAACGUUUAAAACAUUUCCAACGUGACUAAUCACGGAGUCCACUUUAUAAAUGAGAAGUUUAUACGUGAAGCUCUUUUAGACUCGUUCUUGAAUUUAGAUUUUGCCUAAUUUCAAAAUACACUGCAUACUGUACAUAACACACAACGGAUUAUUAGCAUACAGCUAAUCCUGACUCUGCAUGCUAGCAGCUAGCAUGUGUAAGGCGUUAUCAUCCCUGCUGCUUUCAACACACGAUACGCUUCCUAUUGGGAACACUGUUGCUAGGCAACUAGGACAUUAAAAAUGAAAUCCACUCAAUUAUUUAGAAAAGACUGAUAGUCAGCAGUUUGUUUGAAAUUACAACCUGAUAUAAACAUGGAUAUUAAACCAACAUGAACAAAAGCUGUAGUUACAGCUAACAAAGCGAAAUAUAUUGAUAUAUUAUUAGACAGCUAACGUUUGAGUAAGGCAGCUAGGAAAUAUAAACACUGAGAACAGGAGCUAGCUAGUACCUCAGGCUGACUAGCUAGCAAACAGUGACGGAGGAAAUGCGACAGAAACAAGUUUCGUCUCGUCCACUAGCUAGUUACAAUUUGCCUUUUUUAUUAGCUAGCAUGCUAAGUUUUGGCUCGUUUAACCAGCUCAAUUUAGGCUAAAUGAUAAAUCUGGGAUUGUUAACUAGCUAGCUUGCUUUGUAGUGAAUGGCACUUAGUAAAACAAUAUGAUGUAUUUUAUUGCUAAAGCGGGCCGUUGUGUUGGAGCUUCUCAUAAACAUGUCUUUAUUUAAACACAGCAUUAUAUUAGUGAAGAAAAUUAAAAAAAACAAAAAAACAAACAUAUAUCAUCAUAUUAGUGUUUGAUAACUGAUCAAAGAAAUCCAGUUGAGUUUUCUCUGUGUGCCGUAAAAACUCAAAUUUGAUGAUAACGCAAGGCGUCGAUGGUCGAGAGACAUAGAGAGAGAGAGAGAGAGAGAGAGAGAGAGAGAAUCAAACGAGAAAACAACAUUAUCAAAGAUAUUAUUAAACCCCUGAAAAAACGAGUCCAUCUGAGCAGCGGGGGGAAAAGGCGGGGAAAUGACGACGACAACACACACACACACGCACACACACACACACACACACACACACACACACACACACUGCUCAGUGAAGGAAAUUAGACAUACAUCUAAAAGGCAAUAUUUGUCAUUCUUGAGUUGACUAAAGGGUUUAAAAUAAAUAUGUGAUAACGCCGAGGCCGUAACACACUCGCCUCGAUUUCACUGUACACUAUAUACACACAAACUCGCAAUGACAAAAUAACCUUUCAUGUAGAAUAAUCUAUCGUCAAAUAAUAAUAAUACAACCAUGGCAACAAGCAAGAAGAGGUGUUGUUAUUAUUAUUAUUAAUAUCAUCAUUAAUAUCGUUAUUAUCAUUAUUAUUAUUAUUAUUGUUAUUAAUAUUAUUAUUUGUACAAGUACCCAUGCAUUCCCCGUCAUUAAAAUCCUCAGAGCACUGUCCGGAACGACAGAUACUGCCUUUUCUUCUUCUUUUCUUUUUGACGUAUGUGCAAGAUAAAACUGCAAAUAAAAUCGAAAUAUAUCUACACAAACAUCUACAUCUUUCGAAACCUUUCAUCGACGACAUUGAGUUACUGCGUACUAUACAGACAGGUUAGCAUCCAUGCACAGUGUCAACAACUAGCACGUUAACAUUCCAAAUAUGAAACAAGGGGCGGGGUUUGGGGAAUGGGUACUUUGGAAAGAGGGAGGGACUUUGAAAUGCAAGACCGCCUACAAUCGGUGCGGACAAAAUUUGAGACGCAGAAACGUGCCGUCGGACUCCGAUCCCGAACACGUAGCCAGGGUUAGGAGUAAAGUGCGAGUGAACUAGCAAAAACUAUUUCUUCUUAUUAUUUUUACUUAUUUUGUAUAUAUUUUACAUUUUCAGUUAAAUUGACGUAAAAACACAAAUCUAGAUAAAAGAUCCUGUUAUAUUAUUCUUUUUUAGAUGAUCGGAUUAAAAUGGGCCUUUUCAGAAGCACGGGUGCUUUUUAUUAUAAUUCGUUGUAACGAUCAUUAAAAACCGUGUAAACAUGCAGAAUUAUUUAUUAUUUUAAAUGAUCAAGAUUUUAUCAAGAAUUCAUUGAAUCUAAGUAACAGUUACUAAAAAAAACGUGCAAUCUGGGUAAUAAUAGUCACUAAAUAAACAUAACAUCGCAUAACUCGACAUAACUACUCGUUAUGGUUUAAAAAUGAAACUCGAAAUUAACAAUAUUGUCAGCAAUUGGCGUAAAAAUUCAAAUCUAGCUUUUAAUCAUCAAGCUAUCAUGAGCUAUUUCCCUUAAGUACUAGUGUUUUUAUUUGAAUUAAUUGAGGAGUAACAAUCAUAAAGAAAACGUGCAAUUUGUGAUAAAAGGAAAAUGAGAUAAUGUCAUAAUGUCACACAGCGCAAUACGAUUAUAUUGCACUAGAUUGAACAUUUUCUGUGAAACUGGUGUAAAUGUAGCUAUUUUAGCCGUGUUUUUCCCCUAAGUGCAUAAAAAGAAAAAGGUGUAAUUUCAGACAAAAAAAAAAAAAUGUUGCUAAACACGCAGCUAGCUAAUCUGUUAGUUAGCGGCAUGUAUGAAAUGAAAUCCUAUUAUAAAUUACCACUUGGUUCAAAGUUUUAAGGAUAAAUGUAUGCUACGUUACAGCUAGCUUAGGAAACUAUGCUAAUAUGCUACAGGCUCAGAAAUAAAACAUGAGCAGAUUAUAGCAGUUUCUGAAUAUAGUGUUAGAAUUUCUAGCAUUAUCCAUUCAUUUAAUGUUAGUUAGCGCUGUCUCCUAGCGGCUAACACCUGAUUGAUAGUUUUGCUAGCGCACUCAUAUUUAUAAACCCGACGCUGUCGCCUUCCAGGACCGGAGUGUGACGACACGCUGUAGACGCGUCCAACUGACCGAGACGACACACAUACACACACUGAGAUGUAGACACAUUUUGAGACACGCGCCGCGAUCAGCAGGAGGCCACGCCCACAGGAAGUCCGUUGCGGCAGAUUAUGGCUGUAAUUCACACGCAUCCACCGUCCUCAUCUUCAUCUUCUUGCUUUUAUUUCUUUCUUUAUAUUGUUUUUCAAGGAAUAUCAAGGCUCUGUGUCUUUGUCUUUGUCCUUUUUCUUAAUUUAUUGUUUUGAGUGUGAGUGUGUGUGAGUGUGUGUGUGUGUGUGUGUGUGCGUGUGUGUGUGUGUGAGUGUGUGUUUUUCUUUGUAUUGCAACACCGUCCAUGUCGUUCAUCUCCAUAAAGAAACAUCUGGGAACCGUUUAAAUUUUUGUAAAAAAAAAAAAAAAAACCCAAAACAAACGAAAUAAAACAAGAAAAGGAAAAAUAAAAGGACGGCUAGUUUGGCCUUUUUCCUUCAGCAUUAAACUACAGCUAUCACACAUCCUGAUAUUUUCACUAAGAAUUAGCACUAAACACUUGAGUUUUGUAGAUUUUGUAUAAAUUCUCGUACGAAAGCCCUCUAAAGCCAUUUUUCAAACUUUACGUUUUAAUUCUUUUCUUUCGGUAAAAAAACGUUAGCAUCAAAUACAAAACCCAGUCGUAUCGCUAGAAUUGUGUUUUAGAAACGAUUUUACAAUUUUUCCCUUUGGCAAUUUUUUCUUAUCAUCAAGCUAAACUACAAUUAGCAUUUAUUCCAAAUCUAAGUGUAUCGAGUCUUAACUGCUAGCAUGUCUACUCUAGAUUAGCGUGAAAAUCUGGACUUUAAAAGGACAACUAGAUAAAAAAACUCUGUUUAUUUUUAAAGCCAGUCUAAUCUGAAAUCUUUACCUUCUUUAAUUUUAAAAAAAGAAAACAUGCUAGCUACGUUCGGUGUCGUAUCCGGGCUAGUCUACAAGCUUAAAACCAGACUCAAUCGAGCGGCUGUGUCUAAAACCAUGCUAAUCUGCUAAAGUGUUAGCCUUACUUAUAUAAUCUCAGCAGGACUGGAGGGAGCGCACGCCCUCGUAAACUCCACUGUGUGUGUGUGUGUGUGUUGCGGGUGUGUGUGUGUGUAACAGUCAUCAGUGUAAACUCGGGCAGAAACAACACACAGGAUAACACACUAAUCUAACGAGGCCUAUCAGUCUCUGAAAAUUGUCCUGUUUAAAGUCAAUAAAAGCCAAAGAAACGUUUUUUAAAAAAUCAAUCGGACUUGUUUUACAAAACGACGCAAAAAAUGAUCUUUAACAAAGAUUUUAAUGUGUAGCCAUUCGAUGUGGGGCGUGUUUGUUAAUUUAAUGAACACAUCUGAAUGGACUGAAUGGGGGAAGAAACACACACUGGACACAGAGAAUGGGCGCUAGCUACGCGCUGAGACGGACUAGCUAGCUUUAUCCGAAAGCGUAAAGACGAACUGAGCGAGGAAACGUCACAGAACUUUCUGGAACGUCAACAAUAACUCACUGAACGAAUCUCGGUUGUGACCAAAAGAUUCGGCACACACGCUGUUACACAUAUGACCCACACAAUUCACAGACUUUUACAAAACACUGACGGAUUAAAAAUAUAACAUAAACCUAUGUAAAAAAAUCUCUGGAAAUGUAGUGGUUUGGCUUCAGGUUUCAGUUUUGUGGUUUGCAAUAGCGAAGCCCAUCAGCAGCAACUGAACGAAAGGAAUGACUCGGUGCGUGGCAGUGAACGAUACUGAUUCAGUUUAGUGACUCCUUUAAAAAGACUAAAUUGUUCACAAACGAAUCAUGUCUAGUGCAUGAUACUGAUUCGUUCACUUCAGUGAUCCGUUCAAAAAGACGGAAUCAUUCAUGAAUGAAACAUGUCUAGUGACUGGUACAGAUUCGGUCAUUGAAGUGAUUCGUUUAAAAAGACCGAAUUGUGAUCCGAACACGGCCGAUCCUGAUCCUUUCACGUCAGUGAUUUGUUCAAAAAAUAUGGAUUCAUUCACAAACGAAUCAUGUCUAGUGAACGAUACUGAUUCAUUCACCUUAUGACUUGUUCAAAAAGACUGAAUCAUUUGUGAUUUGUGAACUCUGUCUCUUUCCUCUUCACCAGCGCAGAUGGUGUAUUCUGUUUUCCGUCAAGUUUUUCCAGCGAUCCUUUAACUAACUGAUUUCUUACAACAGUUUCUGAACAAUAUUUGUAAGCUAUAAGUUAAAGAUACGUUUAAUGAAACUAUGCUACUUUGUGCAACCGUAUACGUUUUUAGUAGCUCAUAAUUUUUUUUUAAAUGAUUUUACAUUCACAUGAAGUUACAAUCAAAUUAGUUGAUUAGCUAAAGGUGCGUUAGGACUGACUUAUAAAUAAUCUUGUUGUCAGAGUUAUUGUAGUGUUUAGGUGAAUAAAAUUUCCCAGGAUUUUCUCACUCUGUUGUUAGCAAUAACACCAUAAACAUGCUCUACGUGUUAGUAUGUUAGCCUGUUGUGAGCUAGCAGUUACUUAUCGGACUUUUAGUAAGUUUUAGCACGUAACUUUACAGAGUUUAAACGUCAAAUCAACCACAAAGACCACAGAAGGAGGGUAGUAGUGCAUGUUUCAUAAAAUACAGUCAUCAGAACUACGCUACCCAGAAUUCCGUUCUCUCAAAUCCAGCAUUUCCUGAAACCUGGGCUAAUGUACGACGUAAAGUGUUUUAGUACUGGCUUGUCAUCAAGGUUGUCAAGUUUCAUAUUAUUUUUUUUUUUACAUAUUAUUCUCUGCAAAAUCACACCCUCUCUUCACAGCCAAUGGGGAUCUUUGACCAGCCAACAAGCGUCCAAUCAGAUUAAGUCUUUCAGCCUGAGGCACUGAAAGAGGAGCGUGAGGUGGCAGAGAGGAAAUAAAUAAAAUUGGACAUUUUACAGCAUGUUAUAGCUCAUUUCUUUCUCAUUCGAUUUCAGUCAUUCCUCAGUUGUUGUAUCACGACAAAAAAGAAACAAAAAUAACUAAAUCUUAUUAGCAGAGGUUAGCAAAGUUCUGCUGUUACUAGCCCCUCAUUCAUUCAUCUUUAUUCUUUUCUUAUCAUUUUCCUGUGCGUUAGCUAUCUAUACUCUGAAAUGGGGAAAAUAAAAUAAAUUAUCCACGUCCUGUCUGAUGUAGCUUCCUUCAUGUUAGCACCCGUCCUUCUUCAUAACCUGUGUGUGUGUAUAUGUGACAAUGUGUGAGCGUACGCAUCUUCAUAUGGACAUCAGUGUGUUGGUAUGAGUGUGUGUGCGUGUGGUUCCAUGCGCAUGUGUGUGUGUUUAGAAGCCCUUAAUGUGGCAGUAAGCCUCGAGUGAGGAGAACAAGAUGUAGAUCAGCCACAAGCUGACAAAGAGCAUGGUUGUGAGCACUUUGGCAGUCCUCGGGCCUCCCAGCUCUCCACCGAUGUCGGGUCGGCGCCGGUACAUGAGCGUAGCCACGCAGAUGAAGGCGAAGAUGGUGAAGAGUGUGACUGAGAAGGCCAGGCUGCCUGGCUCCACACGAAAUUCACGCCCUUUCGAUUGGUGGUAGAUGGCGGCGAUGGACCAUGCCACACCGAUGCCCAGGAACACAUUCACCGCAUUGCUGCCCGUCACGUUCCCGAUAGACGCAUCGGCAUACUGGUCCUGGAUCGCAGCCACUUUACUGGCGAAGGUGUCUGGAGAAAAAAAUAAAGAAAGAGAAGCAUACAUUAAGCUGGUGGAAGACUUUGAAAGGUUUGAAUGCUGCCCUCUAGUGGAAAAUACUGCAGUGACAUCCACAGUUUUAUAUCAUCGGUCAUGAAAAAUUGCAUAACAGUUAUAUCCAUUGCAUAAAGUCACACUUUCAGAUAGGGGAUCCAAAAAUGUUGCUUUCAAUUUUACAACUGCAUAAUAGUAAAGAAGGAAUAGUGGGCUGUAAAUAAACUGUAGUUACACUGAGGUAAAUAAAGUGUGUUCUAGUUACACUGAGGUAAAUAAAGUAUACCAUCAUUACACUGAGGUAAAUAAAGCAUAUUGUAUAUAAAAUAAAGUGUGUUAUAGUUACACUGAGGUAAAUAAAGCGUGUUAUAUAUAAAGUAUGUUAUAGUUACACUGAGGAAAAUAAAGUGUGUUAUAGUUACACUGAGGUUAAUAAAGUGUGUUAUAGUUACACUGAGGUAAAUAAAGUGUGUUAUAGUUACACUGAGGUUAAUAAAGUGUGUUAUAGUUUAUAGUUAUAGUUACAGUGAGGUAAAUAAAGUGUGUUAUAGUUACACUGAGGUUAAUAAAGUGUGUUAUAGUUUAUAGUUAUAGUUACAGUGAGGUAAAUAAAGUGUGUUAUAUAUAAAAUAAAGUGUGUUAUAGUUACACUGAGGAAAAUAAAGUGUGUUAUAGUUACACUGAGGAAAAUAAAGUGUGUUAUAGUUACACUGAGGUAAAUAAAGUGUUUUAUAUAUAAAAUAAAGAGUGUUAUAUAUAAAAUAAAGUGUGUUAUAGUUACACUGAGGUAGAUAAAGUGUGUUAUAGUUACACUGAGAUAAAGUGUGUUAUAUAUAAAAUAAAGUGUGUUAUAGUUACACUGAGGUAAAUAAAGUGUUUUAUAUAUAAAAUAAAGAGUGUUAUAUAUAAAAUAAAGUGUGUUAUAGUUACACUGAGGUAGAUAAAGUGUGUUAUAGUACACUGAGAUAAAGUG
ensembl:lncRNA